UUUUUUGUAAAUCAGUGUUAGAAUGUUCGCCUGCCACGUGGGCUACCCGGGUUCGAUCCCCGGCAACGGAU